AACAUGGAAGGUAUUGUAAGACAGGGCCUACGGUUUAUAAUCCUUAUUCAAGAAGACUUGAAAGUUUAAUCAUGUGCAGAUGUAGUUUCAAAGGCAGCACUUCCUCCUCAGUUAUUUUAAGACCCUGAGUGAUGGUCCGGCCAGAGUCGAACUCACGACCUCCCAUGUAAUAGCCUGAUGCUCAACCAACUGAGCCACUGGUGCACAUGGUUGUUGUGUUGACUCUUUUCAGGAUUUUGGUAAGAAUAUUAAAAAGUAAUCAAAGAUUUAGAAAGCUGACAUUUCGAGCGUUAGCCCUUCGUCAGAGCGAAUGACGAAGGGCUAACGCUCGAAACGUCGUCCAAAUCUUCUAUGUCAGAUUUUGGAAGUUUGAAGUUCCAACAAAGUCAUAUUGGUAAAACUAACCAAGAACAUGUUGUUGUUGUUGUUGAAGGCCUGCAAAGAACAUUGGGGUGGGUGAUACCAUGAAGUUUGUCUCACAUGUGUACAGUUCAAGGCCAAAAUUGGAAAGUGGUCAGGAAUGCGUGAUGACUUAACUUUCCUUUUGGAGGAAGAGUUAAGCAGUGUCUGUCUGUGUGCUCUACACAGUGAAAUGCGGAAUACUAAGCAGCUGCUUGGGUCCCCUGGUGUACUUGCAUAUCGAUGCAAUGCACUUGAGGAAUGCAACAAAGCCCUCAGCCAGGAUGGUCCAGGGAUUUUGACACAAUUUGAAGUCCAGAGAUGUAUCAAGGUUUUCAAAUUUAGGGGUCCUCUGGACCCCAUAUUGAAAAAUUUGGGGGUCCAUUGCAAGAUUUGGUUGUCCAGCUAAUUUAUAGUCAACAAGACUUAUAAAUAUUCUAUACCAUCAUGGGGCCCAGACCCUUGCAUGUGUUGAGAAACACUAACUACAGAUUCUUUUUAAUUUUUUUUUAUGUCUUCUUAAACUUUUGUAGACACUUCCAUUUUAAGUGAACUAACCCAAAUACGAAAAAGUUGCAUAUUUUGCAAGAAGAUCAUUGACACUUAGCGUCCGAAAUUAAUCAGCAAGGUGGCACGAAACCAAAAUUUUUAGAUACUUCGCAGUUGGGUUCUCUGUCAUUUCGCUCACGAUAAACAAACCAGUGCUUGCAAAGCAUACAACAAACUCAACUUCAACAGAAAUGUUAAAUUAUCAUUACCAGAUAAAAAAUGUUGCCGAUUCUCUCACCCAAACAACAACUUGGAUAAUGCCACUCAACACUUUGGAAUUGAGACAUAACUAAGCACGAGCGACUGAGAAAGUGAUGAGAAAACACAAUGGCUUUUUGGCUUUAUUCUGAAAUUUUACUGCGAAAUUGACAGUGAAGGGCCAAUCAGCUGAUAAAAAUUGUUUCCUCGAAACACAAAUCUGCAUAGCGUGUGACGCUGUUUUUUCCUGCUUAACAAUUUCUCCAAUUCUAAAUUUGUAAAAUUUUGCAGCUACAGUCAUAUUUUGAAUGCUCAACAAAUGCACAUUUUGUGUUCGUUGACCAGUCAGCAAUGCUGUUAACAUAACAGCUUUGAGUGUCAGGUUUUGCAGGUAAUUCAACACUAGACUUGUGUCCCAUGUUACAGAUGUUUUUGGAAAACAUGGACGCUUGUUAAAGAUGCCUUUCAUGAAUCUAGUAACCAGAGGAUGCUGUCCAGCCAAGCGGUCUCCCAACAUUAUGAAUGAGGACAGCGCUGAUCUUACUGUAUUUAAUGCACUGUAACUUAAGCCUUUGUGGAAAAGUGCAGUAAGAAACUCAAUUACAGAUCCAAGAGGUGGUGAGGUAACACUGACAUGCCUCUCACUGCAAAAUGAUAACCACUAUCUGAUGUACAAGUCAUAUUCCCUUUGUGUAGAGUCUCUCCAUGAGGACAUAAUGAUGUCUUUAGACUGUUCUGAAAGUCCAUAACUUUCGAGUGAUUGCCUGUUACAAGAAAUGCUGUCAAAGUCAUUUUUGGUAGCAGAGGAAGUAUAGCUGCAGGGUUUUGUGGGAAUAGAAGUGUCGAUACUGAUCUAGGAAGCAAAACAGGGCAAUCAAUGAUCAUUCGAGCAAGUUUUGCAAACCACAGUUGGGUUGGUCACCAUGGGGCUAUUAGGCUACCCUCAGCAUGAUCAUUUUCUAUCUUUACCAAAACCUUUGAAAUCAGAGAGAAUGGGGGAAAACCAUAAAAUGUUUCUGUCCAUUUGGAUGUAAAUGCAUCACAAAGUGGUGCCUCUGGGUCUGGUUUCCAUGAUAUGAAAGGUUUAAUUUGGCAAUUGAUUUGGGAUGCAAAGAGAUGAAUACUGGGUGCAGGCCAUCUUUGAAUUAAUGUUUUGAAAAUGUUGGGGUUAAGUUGCCAUUCUAUAUUGUCGUGCUGUUUCCUACUUUCUGCAUCUGCAGUGGUAUUUUGAUGGCCUGGAAGGUGUCUAGCGCUAAGCCAGAUUUCUUUUUAAAGGCACCAUUCCCAAAUUUCUCUGGUAAUAUCAUUGCACAAUUUCCUAGUGCCUCACAUAUUAUUUAUGUAGGAAACAGCA